CCUACGGGAGGCAGCAGUGAGGAAUAUUGGUCAAUGGCCGGAAGGCUGAACCAGCCAAGCCGCGUGAAGGACGAAGGUGUCAAGCAUUGUAAACUUCUUUUGUCAAGAGCCAAAAUCAGGCCCGAGAGCCUGACGGAGGGUCCUUGAAGAAAAAGCAUCGGCUAAAGCUGUGCCAGCAGCCGCGGUAAUACGGAGGAUGCGGGCGUUAUCCGGAUUUAUUGGGUUUAAGGGGUGGGAAGGGGGGAUGGUAAGUCAGAGGGGAAAGCCCGGGGCUCAACCCCGGGACAGCCUUUGAAACUGGCUGGCUAGAGAGGAGGAGAGGUAAGCGGAAUGCGUAGUGUAGCGGUGAAAUGCGUAGAUAUUACGCAGAACACCGAUGGCGAAGGCAGCUUACCGGCCUGGAACUGACGCUGAGGCACGAAAGCGUGGGUAUCAAACAGGAUUAGAUACCCGUGUAGUC
rnacentral:rRNA from 1 species